UACGUAGGUGGCAAGCGUUGUCCGGAAUUAUUGGGCGUAAAGCGCGCGCAGGCGGUCUUUUAAGUCUGAUGUGAAAGCCCCCGGCUCAACCGGGGAGGGUCAUUGGAAACUGGGAGACUUGAGUGCAGAAGAGAAGAGUGGAAUUCCACGUGUAGCGGUGAAAUGCGUAGAGAUGUGGAGGAACACCAGUGGCGAAGGCGACUCUUUGGUCUGUAACUGACGCUGAGGCGCGAAAGCGUGGGAGCAAACAGG
rnacentral:rRNA from 1 species